GGUAGUCUUGGCCAUAAACGAUGAUCACUAGGUGUCGGGGGUCUCCUCGGUGCCGCAGCUAACGCAUUAAGUGAUCCACCUGGGGACUACGGCCGCAAGGUUGAAACUCAAAGGAAUUGGCGGGGGCCCGCACAAGCGGUGGAGCAUGUGGCUUAAUUCGAUGCAACGCGAAGAACCUUACCCAGGCUUGACAUGUAUCUGCAAGCUCCCGAAACGGAGUCGCCUUCGAGGGUGAUACACAGGUGGUGCAUGGCUGUCGUCAGCUCGUGUUGUGAAAUGUUGGGUUAAGUCCCGCAACGAGCGCAACCCUCACGGUCUGUUACCAGCGGAUAAUGCCGGGGACUCGGACUGAACUGCCUCUGUAAAGAGGAGGAAGGUGGGGAUGACGUCAAGUCAUCAUGCCCCUUACGCCUGGGGCUGCACACAUGCUACAAUGGCCGGUACAAAGGGUUGCUAACUCGCAAGAGGGUGCUAAUCCCAAAAAGCCGGUCUCAGUUCGGAUUGGGGUCUGCAACUCGACCCCAUGAAGCUGGAAUCGCUAGUAAACGCCGGUCAGCCAUACGGCGUUGAAUACGUUCCCGGGCCUUGCACACACCGCCCGUCACGUGACGAAAGUUGGUUUUACCCGAAGUCAGUGCGCUAACCGCAAGGGAGCAGCUGCCGAAGGUAGUGCCGAUGAUUGGCGCGAAGUCGUAACAAGGUAGCCGUAUCGGUAGGUGC
rnacentral:rRNA from 1 species